GAUGAACGCUGGCGGCGUGCCUAAUACAUGCAAGUCGAGCGAACGGACGAGAAGCUUGCUUCUCUGAUGUUAGCGGCGGACGGGUGAGUAACACGUGGAUAACCUACCUAUAAGACUGGGAUAACUUCGGGAAACCGGAGCUAAUACCGGAUAAUAUUUUGAACCGCAUGGUUCAAAAGUGAAAGACGGUCUUGCUGUCACUUAUAGAUGGAUCCGCGCUGCAUUAGCUAGUUGGUAAGGUAACGGCUUACCAAGGCAACGAUGCAUAGCCGACCUGAGAGGGUGAUCGGCCACACUGGGACUGAGACACGUUCCAGACUCCUACGGGAGGCAGCAGUAGGGAAUCUUCCGCAAUGGGCGAAAGCCUGACGGAGCAACGCCGCGUGAGUGAUGAAGGUCUUCGGAUCGUAAAACUCUGUUAUUAGGGAAGAACAUAUGUGUAAGUAACUGUGCACAUCUUGACGGUACCUAAUCAGAAAGCCACGGCUAACUACGUG
rnacentral:rRNA from 1 species